ensembl:lncRNA
GGCAGUUAGUUUGGAGUGGUCAUCCGCUCCACUCAGUGUAAUCCGUUUGGCUGGAGCAAUGAACUGUCAGUAUUUAAUUAAUCAUACCUCACUGAAUACCACUGAUUUUCAUGCGUUUUUUUCAUACGUAGCUAUGAUAAAGGCCACAUGGUUUGGCGUGUUUUAUUAUUCAAUACUAAUUAUACCAAUAGUACGGUAAUGUUAAAUCUUGCUUGUGAAAAGUAAUCCCCCGAUUCCCAUUAUGGAUUGUCCGCCGAUUUGAGCAGGAAUACGCUGAACAACAGCCCGGCAUCCUGUUUCUGCUGCUGUUGCUUCUCCCGGUUGACCACUCCAAGAUGGCGGCCAUAUUUCUCACGUCCCAGCAGCCAAUGCUCCGUCUAUCUAUAAGAUGUUUAUGUUGACAACCAUAAGAAACCACCUGGCAGUUAGUUGGACGGGAGUCCCCUGAGGGAAUCUGGCGGAACGUACUGGAUUGUAUUUGCGUAACCUCGAGCCGUUGCCAACGGAAACAAUUUUUCAGUCGGUUUCCAUUGGGAAUUGUUGCCCCUAUUUUAAGCAACUAAAGUUUGAUAUUUAAUACAUACUGACACGUACGUCGUACAAUAUGUUGAUAAUUUCCGAUGGUUGCGCCGUACUCUUAACCACGAUGACGUUGCGGGACUCUCACUGCGUACAAAACAGCGUUCUACUUGCGGGCCCAAUUUUGACAUCAAGGAAGGCUUAAAAUCAUUUCAAGAUGGAAGAUAAUUUGACAUUUCUUCAACGGAACCCAGCACCUGAAUAUGGCUGAGUAUAUUUGAUUUAAUAUCGAUACUGCUUAGUGUUCUUUGUUACUUCAGCUUUUGUACGUUCUAAAUAUCUGCUGUCAUUCAUUGCCACAGAAGUUAAACCCUACCCAAUAGAAUGACGUUAAACAACGACUUUGGUGCAGAGUUAACAACUGGAUAAUAUAAAAGCUAAAAUAAUGGCCGUCAUUCCCACAUGUUACAGUAGAAGAUACUCUAGAACUGUACAAGGUUAAAAAUGUAACAUGUAGUUUGUCCCAAGGUGUCUGCCUCCUCACCCAGAGCCAGACCUCCACCUCCUCACCCAGAGCCAGACCUCCACCUCCUCACCCAGAGCCAGACCUCCACCUCCUCACCCAGAGCCAGACCUCCACCUCCUGUCAGAAGUCCUCCAGAACAGCUGAAAGGCGAGGCUGAGAGGCUGGGGACCGGAGGCUUGUGGUGCCAGGGUGGACCGGAGACUGAGGCUGGAGACCAGGGGCCUGCAGCACCGGACCAGAGGAACGUGUUUCUGGAGCGGAGGCGAGCUGGUAGGGGAGCCGUGAAUCUGGAGGAUGACCAUCACUCUACAAACAAGGAUUGCAAACCAGGACUCUGGCUGAGGAGAGCUGAUGGAGGAGCCAAGACUCUGGAGGACGACAUCACUCCACCAACCAGGAUCCUCAGACAAAUUACGUUUGUAACUCUGGAGGACUGAUGGAGAAGCCGUACAUCUGGAAGGCAAAUCCUGAGGAUCACCAGGACUCUACCAUCAAGGAUUCCUCAUAAAUUUGCAUUAUCUGGACAUGGUGGACUAGACACACCUGAGCUGAACCUCACCUGAUCCUGACAUCCUGCUGGUCCCGUCUCCUCAGUUCAUCUGAGCCUCGUCCUCCAGAAGACCUGCUGAGCUCAGCAGUCUGAGGCUGAUGGAUCAAUGACCUCCAGUGGGAGUCAUCUUCUUGACCCAACAUGUAACCGUGUGCUUCCACACGCCUUUCCCUCACGUCUGUCACUAACCUCACUACUUCACUACUCUCUACUGCUUCCUCUUCUUCUUCCUUCUCUGUGGUUCGAACCUUUACACUGGAGGCGCGUCUCCAUGCCCUCAGAGGGUUUAGCGUUAGGGUUGAGAGUCAGGGUUUAGAGUCAGGGACAGAGCUGGUCAGGGAGGACUGCUUUUACACAAACCUCUUCACUUGCUUUCGGAAUGGUGGUGACAUUUUGAAAAGAUUCAUUUGGGAAAAUGUUUUCCUCUGCUUUCCUCUACAAAAUUGUAUUAAACUUCUGUCAAGUGUUUUUGUUUAUAUAUUAAAAUCCCACAUUGACUUCUA